rnacentral:rRNA from 1 species
UGGGGAAUUUUGCGCAAUGGGGGAAACCCUGACGCAGCAACGCCGCGUGGAGGAUGAAAUCCCUUGGGAUGUAAACUCCUUUCGAUCGGGACGAUUAUGACGGUACCGGAAGAAGAAGCCCCGGCUAACUUCGUGCCAGCAGCCGCGGUAAUACGAGGGGGGCGAGCGUUGUUCGGAAUUAUUGGGCGUAAAGGGUGCGUAGGCGGUUUGAUAAGUCUUGUGUGAAAUCUCUGGGCUCAACCCAGAGUCUGCACAGGAAACUGUCGGGCUUGAGUAUGGGAGAGGUGAGUGGAAUUUCCGGUGUAGCGGUGAAAUGCGUAGAUAUCGGAAGGAACACCUGUGGCGAAAGCGGCUCACUGGACCAUUACUGACGCUGAUGCACGAAAGCUAGGGGAGCAAACAGGAUUAGAUACCCCCGUAGUCC